rnacentral:rRNA from 1 species
UACGUAGGGUGCGAGCGUUGUCCGGAAUUAUUGGGCGUAAAGAGCUCGUAGGCGGUGUGUCACGUCGGCCGUGAAAACCUGCAGCUUAACUGUGGGCGUGCGGUCGAUACGGGCAUCACUGGAGUUCGGCAGGGGAGACUGGAAUUCCUGGUGUAGCGGUGAAAUGCGCCGAUAUCAGGAGGAACACCGGUGGCGAAGGCGGGUCUCUGGGCCGAAACUGACGCUGAGGAGCGAAAGCGUGGGGAGCAAACAGG